AGAGUUUGAUCCUGGCUCAGGAUAAACGCUGGCGGCGUGCCUAACACAUGCAAGUCGAACGCACUCAGCAAUGAGUGAGUGGCGGACGGGUGAGUAUCAUGUGGGUUAUCUCCCAUUCAGUGAGGAAUACCGGCGAGAAAUCGCCGACAAUACCGCAUACGUUUGCUUUUCAUCACAGAGGGCAAAGAAAGUCGUAAGACGCUGAAUGAUGAGCCUGCACCUGAUUAGUUAGUUGGUGGGGUAAAAGCCUACCAAGACUGCGAUCAGUCGCUGGUCUGAGAGGACGAUCAGCCACACUGGGAUUGAGAACGGCCCAGACUCCUACGGGGGGCAGCAGUGAGGAAUUUUCCGCAAUGGGCGCAAGCCUGACGGAGCAACGCCGCGUGCAGGACGACGGUCUUCGGAUUGUAAACUGCUUUACUGGGGGACGAGAAUGGACGGUACCCCAGCAAUCAGCCCCGGCUAACUACGUGCCAGCAGCCGCGGUAAUACGUAGGGGGCGAGCGUUGUCCGGAGUUACUGGGCGUAAAGCGCACGCAGGCGGUUUUACAAGUUGCCGAUGACAGCGUCUGGCUUAACUAGACGAGGGUGGGCAAAACUGUAGAACUUGAGGGCCAGAGAGGGACAUAGAAUUCCGGGUGGAGUGGUGAAAUGCGUAGAUAUCCGGAGGAAUACCAAAGGCGAAGGCCAGUGUUCCUGGAUGGUACCUGACGCUCAGGUGCGAAAGCUAGGGGAGCGAACGGGAUUAGAUACCCCGGGUAGUCCUAGCC
rnacentral:rRNA from 1 species